UUUGGGACUAAGCCUUAGAGCAGUCUAGAGAGGGUUAGCUAGGUGACUUAAGCUUUAGGAUACAGCCUUAGGGCAGUCUAGAGGGUUAGCUAGGUGACUUAACCUUUAGGAUACAGCCUUAGGGCAGUCUAGAGGGUUAGCUAGGUGACUUAACCUUUAGGACGAAGCCUUAGAGCAGUCUAGAGGGUUAGCUAGGUGACUUAACCUUUAGGACGAAGCCUUAGAGCAGUCUAGAGGGUUAGCUAGAUGACUUAACCUUUAGGAUACAGCCUUAGGGCAGUCUAGAGGGUUAGCUAGAUGACUUAACCUUUAGGAUACAGCCUUAGGGCAGUCUAGAGGGUUAGCUAGGUGACUUAACUUUGUGGCCUCAGGAAGAUGGUUCAUCCGUUUAACUCUAACCAAGAUGAUUACUGCAGUAAUGAGAAGACACACGCAAUGAGAGGAGAGGGUAGAGGAGAGGAGGGUAG
ensembl:lncRNA